CUACGGGAGGCACCAGCAAGGAAUAUUGUACAAUGGGGGAAACCCUGAUACAGCAACGCCGCGUGAAGGAAGAAGGCCUUCGGGUUGUAAACUUCUGUUUUAGAGGAAGAAGAAAGUGACGGUACUCUUAGAGGAAGCCCCGGCAAACUACGUGCCAGCAGCCGCGGUAACACGUAGGGGGCGAGCGUUGUCCGGAAUCCCUGGGCGUAAAGGGCGCGUAGGCGGUUUAUUAAGUUGCAUGUGAAAACCCAGGGCUUAACCCUGGACCUGCAUGCAAAACUGGUAGACUUGAGUAUGGCAGAGGAAAGUGGAAUUCCUAGUGUAGCGGUGGAAUGCGUAGAUAUUAGGAGGAACACCAGUGGCGAGGGCGACUUGCUGGGCCAAAACUGACGCUGAGGCGCGAAAGCGUGGGGAGCAAACAGGAUUAGAUACCCGAGUAGUC
rnacentral:rRNA from 1 species